rnacentral:rRNA from 1 species
CCUACGGGUGGCAGCAGUCGAGAAUCAUUCACAAUGGGGGAAACCCUGAUGGUGCGACGCCGCGUGGGGGAAUGAAGGUCUUCGGAUUGUAAACCCCUGUCAUGUGGGAGCAAAUUAAAAAGAUAGUACCACAAGAGGAAGAGACGGCUAACUCUGUGCCAGCAGACGCGGUGAUACAGCGGUCUCAAGCGGUGUUCGGAAUCACUGGGCGUAAAGCGUGUGUAGGCUGUUUCGUAAGACGUGUGUGAAAGGCGCGGGCUCAACCCGCGGGCCGCACAUGAUACUGCGAGACUAGAGUGAUGGAGGGGGAACCGGAAUUCUCGGUGUAGCAGUGAAAUGCGUAGAUAUCGAGAGGAACACUCGUGGCGAAGGCGGGUUCCUGGCCAUUAACUGACGCUGAGGCACGAAGGCCAGGGGAGCGAAAGGGAUUAGAUACCCUUGUAGUC